rnacentral:rRNA from 1 species
GACGAACGCUGGCGGCGUGCUUAACACAUGCAAGUCGAACGGAAAGGCCCUGCCUUUGUGGGGUGCUCGAGUGGCGAACGGGUGAGUAACACGUGAGUAACCUGCCCUUGACUUUGGGAUAACUUCAGGAAACUGGGGCUAAUACCGGAUAGGAGCUCCUGCUGCAUGGUGGGGGUUGGAAAGUUUCGGCGGUUGGGGAUGGACUCGCGGCUUAUCAGCUUGUUGGUGGGGUAGUGGCUUACCAAGGCUUUGACGGGUAGCCGGCCUGAGAGGGUGACCGGCCACACUGGGACUGAGAUACGGCCCAGACUCCUACGGGAGGCAGCAGUGGGGAAUAUUGCACAAUGGGCGGAAGCCUGAUGCAGCAACGCCGCGUGCGGGAUGACGGCCUUCGGGUUGUAAACCGCUUUCGCCUGUGACGAAGCGUGAGUGACGGUAAUGGGUAAAGAAGCACCGGCUAACUACGUG